rnacentral:rRNA from 1 species
GACGAACGCUGGCGGCGUGCUUAACACAUGCAAGUCGAACGGAAAGGCCUCUUUCGGGGGGUACUCGAGUGGCGAACGGGUGAGUAACACGUGAGUAACCUGCCCUUGACUUUGGGAUAACUUCAGGAAACUGGGGCUAAUACCGGAUAGGAGCUCCUGCUGCAUGGUGGGGGUUGGAAAGUUUCGGCGGUUGGGGAUGGACUCGCGGCUUAUCAGCUUGUUGGUGGGGUAGUGGCUUACCAAGGCUUUGACGGGUAGCCGGCCUGAGAGGGUGACCGGCCACAUUGGGACUGAGAUACGGCCCAGACUCCUACGGGAGGCAGCAGUGGGGAAUAUUGCACAAUGGGUGGAAGCCUGAUGCAGCAACGCCGUGUGCGGGAUGACGGCCUCGGGUUGUAAACCGCUUUCGCUCAUGACGAAGCUUUGUGUGACGGUAGUGGGUAAAGAAGCACCGGCUAACUACGUG